rnacentral:rRNA from 1 species
CCUACGGGUGGCAGCAGUGAGGAAUAUUGGUCAAUGGACGAGAGUCUGAACCAGCCAAGUAGCGUGAAGGAUGACUGCCCUAUGGGUUGUAAACUUCUUUUAUAUGGGAAUAAAACGUUCCACGUGUGGGAUUUUGUAUGUACCAUAUGAAUAAGGAUCGGCUAACUCCGUGCCAGCAGCCGCGGUAAUACGGAGGAUCCGAGCGUUAUCCGGAUUUAUUGGGUUUAAAGGGAGCGUAGGUGGAUUGUUAAGUCAGUUGUGAAAGUUUGCGGCUCAACCGUAAAAUUGCAGUUGAAACUGGCAGUCUUGAGUACAGUAGAGGUGGGCGGAAGUCGGGGUGUAGCGGUGAAAUGCUUAGAUAUCACGAAGAACUCCGAUUGCGAAGGCAGUUCACUGGACUGCAACUGACACUGAGGAUCGAAAGUGUGGGUAUCAAACAGGAUUAGAUACCCCAGUAUC